rnacentral:rRNA from 1 species
UACGAAGGGGGCUAGCGUUGUUCGGAAUUACUGGGCGUAAAGCGUAUGCAGGCGGAUCGUUAAGUCGGGUGUGAAAUCUUGGAGCUUAACUCCGAAACUGCAUUCGAUACUGCCGUGCUUGAGGACUGGAGAGGAGACUGGAAUUCAUGGUGUAGCAGUGAAAUGCGUAGAGAUCAUGAGGAAGACCAGUGGCGAAGGCGGGUCUCUGGACAGUUCCUGACACUGAGGCACGAAGGCCAGGGGAGCAAACGGG